rnacentral:lncRNA from 1 species
GGAAUCUGAUAGAGAGAAGGAGAGCCACAAAAUGCAUGUAGAGUAAAUGAGUGACCGAAUUAAUCAGAGAAUUUAAGCCUGGCCUGCAUGAGAGAUCUGCUAGUGGUUUUCGUUUGUGAGGAAAGAACCUUCUGGGCAGAGCUCCUCUGUCCUGUACAGAAAACUUCAAACAAUCAAAGGGAUGGCUUUGGAGUGGCUUCAAA